GCUUCCACGGCUCCAGGGAUGGGCUCCAGGUCCAGGAAAAAGCCGGGGGCUUCAUACACACUGGCGACUUUGUCCUGAAAGAGAGCGUUCCCCUCCCGGCUUCUGCCUCAGCAGAUCUACCCCGGCGAGGAUCUCGAAGGAAGACGGUGUCUCGGGAAGUGAACCAGAGGCCCUGCUGCCCCAGGCUGCCGCGGGCGUCCCCGGGAUCCAAAAUGCUGAGAAGCCUCUUCAAACGCGGAGCCGAGGCUUCUUAAACCGGGGCGGCUGGCUCCCCCUGCCCUAGGCUCCAGUCCGCCAGUCCUCGCUUGCGGGCUUAGGGGCGCGGGGAGCCCAGGGACGCCGCGGACCCGGAGCCGAGCUCCCGAGGACGCAAGGCUCGGACCUGCCGACUUGGGACGCGGGAGCUUCUACUUAAAAGCACACAGCCCCACCUGGGGGCAGACGGUUUCCGUCAAGCUCGGGUCAUCGGGGCUGCCCUUCUCGCCAUGGAACUGGCGCCUCUAGAACCGGCGGUUAGACCCCCCCGGUUGAAAAAAUGCUGGAUGUUGCUAAAUUUUGUUAGCUCCCCCUUUUGUAGAUUUCAAGCAAUUUCCUGACUACGUCCAUGUAUCGUUUCCCCAAGAGCGCCCGACACUGCCAAACCAAUGCAGCAGAAGCGUUACAAAGAGGAGCCUGGCUUCUCGUUCUAAGGGGACCGAACUUAAAAAAAAAAAAACACUUAAGAGGUGGAGGAAGCGAGAAGCUGAAGGGAUUAGCCAAACCGCUUACUCGUAUUGCGUGACCCUCGGACGAGGGCAACAGUGUGGUGAUGGCCUGGAGGGGGGGAGGGGGCAAAGCGCUAAAUAGUAGGGACAAUUGUAACCGUCUAAACAAUAAAACAUAAAGGGAAAAAGAG